UCGCACCUACGGGGGGCAGCAGUGAGGAAUAUUGGUCAAUGGGCGGGAGCCUGGAGCAGCCAAGUCGCGUGAGGGAAGACGGUCCUAUGGAUUGUAAACCUCUUUAGGCGGGGAGCAAUGCCGGGCACGCGUGUCCGGAGGGAGAGUACCCGCAGAAUAAGCAUCGGCUAACUCCGUGCCAGCAGCCGCGGUAAUACGGAGGAUGCGAGCGUUAUCCGGAUUUAUUGGGUUUAAAGGGUGCGUAGGCGGAUUUUUAAGUCAGCGGUAAAAUGUCCGGGCGCAACCCGGGC
rnacentral:rRNA from 1 species